ACCAUCAUCGUCCAGUGGUUAGGAUGCCAGGUUUUCAUAUAACUUGAUCAAUGAAUUCCCUGGAGACCGGGGUUCGAACCCCCGUGAUGGUA